CACGUGAGUCAAGAAGUGGGAUUAACGUGACUUUCGUUAACUGGCAACAUUUUCAGUGAUGGCCGAUGUUUCAACUUGGACGGGAUGCUAACGACCGUUGCCGAAUUUUAGUGUUGAAUUAUAUCAAGUUUCUAAUAAUUCGGUGUUUUUAUGUGAAUAUUAUAAAUUCUAAUAACAUUUAGUGUGAUAUUGUGUGUUUAUAGUGACUAAAUUUCAAGUGUUGUUCAUUAGAGAAUGUUUGUUGUGCCCUCGCUUUAACAGGAUCACUGGAUAAUAAAAUAUUGGAUUACGGUUGCUGUUUAUUUAAUUGUUGUGGACUAAAGAGCUAGUGCAAAGAGUGGAGUGCAUCGAUGAGACUCCACUGAGUUUUCGAAGAUAACAGCGUCGCCACGCUGCACGGUUUACUAACAUAGGGGCGGUGUGUGAGUGUCGCACCGCCAUGUCGCACCACAGCGACGAACAGGCGCUCCUCACGGUCACCUCCGACUCGUUCUGGGAGCCUGGUAACUAUAAGCGGACCACACGAAGAGUUGACGAUGGACACAGACUAUGCGGAGAGCUGCAGGCCUUGGUGCAGGAGAGGGCAGAC